AUUGAACGCUGGCGGCAUGCUUUACACAUACAAGUCGAACGGCAGCACGGGGGCAACCCUGGUGGCGAGUGGCGAACGGGUGAGUAAUGCAUCGGAACGUACCCAGUCGUGGGGGACAACGUAGCGAAAGUUACGCUAAUACCGCAUACGACAUGAGGGUGAAAGCAGGGGAUCGCAAGACCUUGCGCGAUGGGAGCGGCCGAUGUUGGAUUAGCUAGUGGGUGGGGUAAAGGCUCACCAAGGCGACGAUCUGUAGCGGGUCUGAGAGGAGGAUCCGCCACACUGGGACUGAGACACGGCCCAGACUCCUACGGGAGGCAGCAGUGGGGAAUUUUGGACAAUGGGGGCAACCCUGACCCAGCCAUGCCGCGUGCGGGAAGAAGGCCUUCGGGUUGUAAACCGCUUUCGGACAGAAAGAAAUCGCAUGGGCUAAUACCCUGUGUGGAUGACGGUACUGUAAGAAGAAGCACCGGCUAACUACGUGCCAGCAGCCGCCGCGGUAA
rnacentral:rRNA from 1 species